CUGUUCAGAGAGCAGGAGAGGACGUCACUCUGACUUGUCAACAUAAGCUGGAGGGUCAACGGAACUGUAAUGGAACAUCAUGGUACUAUUAUGCUGGAACCACUAAUAUCAUGGAUCUGGUUCAACUUGGGAAGAUUAAAGACUACAGUGACAUAACAUCAGACAGACUGAGAGUUGCAGCAGAUUGCUCUCUGAUUCUGAAGAAAGUCACAGAAAAGCAAGUUGGUCAUUAUUAUUGUGAUCAAUUCAAAUCAGACAGUUCAAAGCAACCCGUUCUAGUUAGCUGGUCUUUCGUGGAUCUGUCUAUCGUCAACAUCGUGACUGAACAUGACUCCGAUGACGAGGAGACACUGAAAUGCUUCGUGACGUCUAUACAGGAAAACUGUGAACUGGAAGUGAAGUGGACGAUCAAAGAUCAGGAUAUUGAUGAAGUCAACAGUCAGAUAAAGACAGAAAAGAAUGGAUGUUCUGCCACUGUGACUCUUAAAAAGUCACAUUAUCUUCACCCACAAACACACUUCCUGAGCUGUGAAGUGACUGACAACAGAACAGGAGAAACGUUUCGUUUCAGUCCUCGACCCUCAGGUGACACGAAAUCAACAAUGAAACCAGAAAGCUUCACAAAAUCAGCUGGAACUGAAACCAGUGGAGCUUCAGCAGGUCCACAAGGCUCGUGGUGGAUGCACUCGAUUGUCGCUGUGGGUCUGAUUGUACUCCUGAUCACAGCUGUGGUGAUCAUCAUCAGGUGGGAAAGGACCAAAGGU